rnacentral:rRNA from 1 species
CCAACAAUGGUACCAACCUUUAAAGGCUAUUUGCUAUUGUACUAUCUUUAUAUAAUGUACUUCAUCAUGGAGCGUAAGCACUUUUCCAGUUGAAAAUAUUUGUCUAUCCAAGACAUUGGGAAUAUGAUAACAUUUUAUUAACGACUAACAAAGUGCCAGCAGUCGCGGUCACACUUUAGUUAAAAGUAAAGACAAUAAGGACCAAUUAAAUGGAUUAAGAAUUUUUGUAGUGAAAUAUAAUAACUUAUUUAAUAUUGACCCAUUUAUCUUAUAAAAUAAAAACUGACCCCAAACAGGGAUUAGAUACCCCUUUAUGCAGUAAGUAAUAUUUUGUCCUGAGUACUAAAACUAUUAAAGUUAAAACUCAAAUAACAUGGCGGUAGUUAAAAUAUUUAGGGGAACUUACUAAAUUAAAUGACAACCACCAAGAGCAUAUACGGCACCUCAUAUUUUACAUACCGUCGUCGUCAGAUAUACUACAAUAGAAUAUCAUAAUAUAUAAUUUAAUAAAAAGACAGAUCAAGGUGUAGAUUAUGGUUCCGCUUUAGCGAGUUACUAUAAUAAAUUAGUUCAUUUCGCAAUUUAAAAGUUGCUCCCUGUAGGACUUAAAAGUAAUAUAUAUUAUGUAUACUAUAUGAAUACUACUUUAACUGUGC